GACAGAUCGCGCUCGGGUCUCGGCCUCCUGAGUGCCGGUGACUGCGGGAGGCGACGGAGUGCUUCUGGGGGUGUGAGCUGGGGAAGUUCGUGGUCACGGAUGCGUGUGGGGUUGCUGCUCAGUCUGUAACGGCAGGAAAGAUGAAUGGGAGGGCUGAUUUUCGAGAGCCGAAUGCAGAGGUUCCAAGACCAAUUCCCCACAUAGGGCCUGAUUACAUUCCAACAGAGGAAGAAAGGAGAGUCUUCGCAGAAUGCAAUGAUGAAAGCUUCUGGUUCAGAUCUGUGCCUUUGGCUGCAACAAGUAUGUUGAUUACUCAAGGAUUAAUUAGUAAAGGAAUACUUUCAAGUCAUCCCAAAUAUGGUUCCAUCCCUAAACUUAUACUUGCUUGUAUCAUGGGAUACUUUGCUGGAAAACUUUCUUAUGUGAAAACUUGCCAAGAGAAAUUCAAGAAACUUGAAAAUUCCCCCCUUGGAGAAGCUUUACGAUCAGGACAAGCACGACGAUCUUCACCACCUGGGCACUAUUAUCAAAAGUCAAAAUAUGACUCAAGUGUGAGUGGUCAAUCAUCUUUUGUGACAUCCCCAGCAGCAGACAACAUAGAAAUGCUUCCUCAUUAUGAGCCAAUUCCAUUCAGUUCUUCUAUGAAUGAAUCUGCUCCCACUGGUAUUACUGAUCAUAUUGUCCAAGGACCUGAUCCCAACCUUGAAGAAAGUCCU
rnacentral:lncRNA from 1 species